CCUACGGGAGGCAGCAGUAAGGAAUAUUGGCCAAUGGACGCAAGUCUGAACCAGCCAUGCCGCGUGCAGGAUGAAGGCCCUCUGGGUUGUAAACUGCUUUUAUCUGGGACGAAAAAGGGGCUUUCUAGCUCAACUGACGGUACCAGAGGAAUAAGCACCGGCUAACUCCGUGCCAGCAGCCGCGGUAAUACGGAGGGUGCAAGCGUUAUCCGGAUUUACUGGGUUUAAAGGGUGCGUAGGUGGGUAAGUAAGUCAGUGGUGAAAUCUUCAAGCUUAACUUGGAAACUGCCAUUGAUACUAUUUAUCUUGAAUACUCUGGAGGUAAGCGGAAUAUGUCAUGUAGCGGUGAAAUGCUUAGAUAUGACAUAGAACACCAAUUGCGAAGGCAGCUUACUACAUAGUUAUUGACACUGAGGCACGAAAGCGUGGGGAUCAAACAGGAUUAGAUACCCUGGUAGUCCACGCCCUAAACCGAUGGAANACUACACANCANGAUACACUGUUGUGCUGNGNGAAGANAUAGUAUACCACCUCGGAGGUACGACCGACCGACGUAGUAACGUACGAACGAAGUUAGUACGGCGUAGAGACGUUAGCGACGGACGACGACGAGGGAGGAGGGNG
rnacentral:rRNA from 1 species